GUAAAUCAAUUUAAUUUGAUAUUUAAAAAUUUAUUAGAAGUUUUUUUAUUUUAUAUAUUUUUAAUAAAAAUAUUUUUUUUUUUUUAUUAUUUUAGAUAAAAUUAUUAUUAUUAUAGUAAAUUAGUAUAGAGAUAGAAUAUUUAAAUAAAAAUUGAAAAUUAAAAUUUUUAAAAGAAAAUUUAAAUUAUUGUACCUUGUGUAUCAGGGUUUAUUAAAUAAUUAUUAUUAAAGUUUAGUUUUCUCGAAUUUAAAAGAGCUAAAAAGUUAUAAAUUUUAUUGUUAAAUAAAUAUUUAUAAUAAUUUUUUAGAAAUGAAACGUUAGUCGUUUUUAAAUUUAUCUAGUUUUUUAAGAAAUGAAUUUAAUUCAGUUAUUAAUUUUUAUUUAUAUUAUUAUAUAUUAUAGAAGAAUAAAAUUAGUAAUUAAUAUUUUAAGGGAUAAGCUUUAAAAUAAAGAUUUUAUAAAUAGAAAUUAGUUAGUUAAAAUUUAUAGAAGUGGAAGUAUUAGUUAUUAAUGUGUGUUAUAACAAUUUUUAGAUUAAAUAUAAUUUUUAUAUAAUUUUAAAUAUUUUAUUAAAAUAAUUAAUUAAAUAAGGAAGUUAAUGUAAUAAUGAUAGAAUUAGUAUAAUUUUAUGUUAGAUUAUUUAUAGAUUAAAGGUUAAAUUAAGGAAUUCGGCAAAAAAAUUUUUCGCCUGUUUAUUAAAAACAUGUCUUUUUGAUUAUAAUAUAAAGUCUGACCUGCCCUAUGAUAUAAAAUUAAAUGGCCGCGAUAAUUUGAUCGUGCAAAGGUAGCAUAAUAAUUAGUUUCUUAAUUAGGAACUGGAAUGAAAGGUUGAACGAAAAAAUUACUGUCUCAGUUUAAAUUUAAUUAGAAUUUAAUUUUUAAGUUAGAAAGCUUAAAUAAUUUUUAAAGACGAGAAGACCCUAUAGAGUUUUAUAUUUAUUUAUUUGUUUUUUACUUUAAGAAUUUAAAUUUAAAAUUAAUAUAUUAAGUAUUUGAUUGGGGUGAUUAGAAAAUUUAAUAAACUUUUUUUAUAUAAUUACAUUGAUUUAUGAUUAGUUGAUCCAUAUAUUAUGAUUAAAAGAUUAAAUUACCUUAGGGAUAACAGCGUAAUUUUUUUUGAGAGUUCUUAUCGAAAAAAAAGAUUGCGACCUCGAUGUUGGAUUAAAAUUAAUUUAUGGUGUAGGAGCUAUAUAAUUUAGGUCUGUUCGACCUUUAAAAUUUUACAUGAUCUGAGUUUAAACCGGUGUGAGCCAGGUUGGUUUCUAUCUUUAAAAUAAUUAAAUAUUUUAGUACGAAAGGAUCAAAUAUUUAUAAUAAUUAUUAUUUUAGGGAUAAUAAUAAAAUUAAAUUACUUUGGCAGAAUAGUGUUU
rnacentral:rRNA from 1 species